rnacentral:lncRNA from 1 species
CUUAAAGUGUGCCUGCAGAGGAGGCUUCGGGGGUGCUGGGUGCCAAGAUAAUCCAGUGAGGAAGAACUAGCCUUCUCAACAAGUGGUUCUGGAUAAUUGGAUAUCACAUGCAAAAGAAUGAAGUUGGAUUUUUACCUCACACCCAAUAUAAAAAAUUAACACAAAAAGAUCAAAGACCUAAAUGUAAGCACUAAAAUGAUAAAAAUCUAGAAAACAUAGACAUAACUCUUUGUGGCCUUGGAUUGUGCAAUGGUUUUUUGAUAUGAGAUCAAACACACAAGCAACAAAAGAAAACAUACACACUUGACUUCAUCAAAACGUAAAACUUCUAUUCCUAAAAGGACACCAGCAAGAAACCUACAGAAUGGGAGGAAAUAGUUGCAAAUCACCUAUCUAAUAUGGGAUGUGUGUCUAGAAUAAACAAAAAUUAUUCUUAAAACUCAGUAAUGAAAAGACAAAUAGCCCAAAUUAAAAAUGGGCCAAGGACCUGAAUAGACAUCUAUAUAAAGAAGAGACGAUAAGCACAUGAAAAGAUGCUCAAAAUCAUUAGCCUUCAAGAAGAUUCAAAUACAAAUCACAGUGAGAAACUACUUCACACACACUAGGAUGGCAAGAAUCAAAAACACAGAUAAUAAGUGUUGGUGAGGGUGUGGAAAAAUUAGAAACUUCAUACAUUACUUUUGGGAAUGUAAAAUGGCACAGUCAUUUUGGAGAGCAGUCUGGC